AGAAAGACCUCAGGUGGAAUUCUGUCCCGGAAACAGAUCCUUCCUCUUACUGGAACCCGCCGGCUAGAUGCCAAGUUUUUUACUUUUUACAACAUGCCCAUCCUUUUACUUGAACUCACCGAGGACGCGAAUAAAACAAAGAGGAUUCAAUAUAAGCCUCAGUGUGCGUUAUAAUAAGCGCUUAUUACUGAGAGAGAUCAGAUUCUCAAGGCUGAAUUGAUGGAGAAACCACAGCAGCACUCCCAGCUCCUGUCCAGGUUUGUCCCCACCAAGCAGAAGGAUGUGCUCCGCUUCACGAUCGAUGCCUUCCUCUUCCAGAAGAAGCUGUCCAGGAAGCAUGAAGUGACUGAGCUGUACAUGCACUGUGUCAUGUCUCUGGCUCCUGCUAAAGCAACACCAGGGACCAAGUCCUGCACCUACAACAGGGAGGCUAAGAGGUACUUCUGCAAGGAGCCUGCUGAGGGUGCUCUGGGACAUGCCAGGUGGAGGCCUGACCUGUCCUCCUCUCCUCCAGGUGGGAGGAGCUGUAUGGUGACCAUGAGGUCUGUACCUGCUGUGAGUCCAGGUGUACUUUCCAACAGAAUGAAGGUGGGUCUGGUUCUCUUCCUCCUUGCUUCCAGAGACUCUGGGUCUCCAGCUGUAGCAGAUCCCUCACUGGUGGGUGCUGCUUGUCCACAGGUACCAGGAGCCUGGUGACCAGCAGUCGGGUGUCUGUGGCACCAGUAGAGGGUCCUCUGGGUGUGGAAGGUGACUGGACUGAGGAUGAGGAGGGAGACCCUCAGGGCUCCAGUGAAGAUGCUGAGAGCACCAGUGA
rnacentral:lncRNA from 1 species